rnacentral:lncRNA from 1 species
GGGGGAGCAGUUUAUAAAAUGAACCGUUAAUCUGAUCGACGUGACCGGAACACGACAUCCGUUACCGGCCCGUCCGAACAACCUCAAGAGCCAAUCAGCAGCCCAUGACGCCCUCACAUAUACGCCUUAAAUCAGCUAACAGUAUUGUUAGGACUAAAGCACACUAGUCCAAGCACACUCGAUGAACACUACAGAACUGUGUUACUCGCCCACAUGCAGCUUAAUGUUCUCUUCCAGAUCAGAUCCAUCCACUCCUGUCAACAAGUGAGAGCGCGCGCUUCCCGCUCGAUCGCGCGCGUCGCGUCUGACGCGUGUGCGUGAUGGAUGCGGUGCGCGCGUGAGGGGGGCGGGAGCGCGUGGAACGCUCGAGCUCCUCUCGUUCGUUUUCUGACGCGAGAAAGACAAAAGAAAAAAAGAGAAAAAAGCCAGCAGAAGAGAAACGAGCUCGUGCUCGCGGAAUACCAAGGCCCGCUCGGUUCGGUGAGGUGGCUGUGAGCCGCGGGUCGGUGCAGGCGGAGCGGCGGAGCGCGGGACUCGAGCCCGGGGAGAUCGGACGGGCCUGUCCGAACAUCUUCCUGUUUCCAGAGAAAGAAAGACACUAUCAUAUUGAGAGGAUUAAAAGAGCAACUGGAAGGCAUGUCACGGACCAUGGAAAACAUGAUGCUAGGACAAGCUACACUGAAAAAUACCUUACUGUAAUGGGCAAGGACUGGAUGAUCAAAGAAAACAACACAUUUGCUGGACUGAAUAACUAACAUGGGAAAUGACAAAUGUUUGGAUACAGCUGGAAAAUAUUUGUUGGUGAAGAUCUUAAUGAAACAUGGCUUGAGCAUGUGCCGAAAAUCCCUAUUACACAGGAAAUAUGAUAAAAAGUCAUGAUUUUGAAGGAUUGAUCUUUCUCAAGCCAUUUCAGUGUCAGUGAAUACAUGUGCCAACUAGAGAAAGUUUUUUUAUUUGUUUUUUUUUUCGUCUUUUGCAAACCUGUUACUGAACUAUUAUAAUUCUACUGCAUGGCUGCUAUCCACAUCCGUUCGCACAUUUACCAAAUGGCAAGAUGUUUCACACUACAGUAUCAAGAUAUUGACAUUCUCUUAAUGAAACUUACUUGAGUUGCUUUUUUGGUGGAGUAUUUUUUACCUCUUGUCUAAUAGACAUUUUGUGAUAACACUAAACCUUCAAUCAUUAUCUUUUUCCAGACAUCUUUUGAUCUAGUGCCAAACCACGUAGUAGCAUUUGUGAUACCAUUUCUGUGAAUGAAUGUGCAGAUGCUGCAUUUCCCAUCUUCACACUGUUUUUACUUUUUGACUUGAGCAGCAAAUUGGAUCCCCUUGCUUUCUAAAUCUCAGUUAUGACAUUGUUUGGGGCCUUCUACAUUUAUGUUACAGAUGUGUUUGUAGAUUUCUAAUACUAAGCAUUCCAGUUUGCCAUUUGGGUCCUCUUGAAAAGAAAGAUUGCUAAAAACAGCUUUU